UACGGAGGAUGCGAGCGUUAUCCGGAUUUAUUGGGUUUAAAGGGUGCGUAGGCGGCGAGUUAAGUCAGCGGUAAAAGCCCGUGGCUCAACCACGGAACUGCAUUUAAAACUGGAUUGCUAGAGUACAGGAGGGGUAAGCGGAAUUUCUAGUGUAGCGGUGGAAUGCUUAGAUAUUAGGAAGAACACCAGAGGCGAAGGCGGCUUACUGGACUGCAACUGACACUGAGGCUCGAAAGCGUGGGGAGCAAACAGG
rnacentral:rRNA from 1 species